CAUAAUUUCUCUGACCAUUUUUUUUAAGAAUGUCUGUUUAAUUCAGAAUUGGAAUCUAAAUAAAUAGCUCCUGGCUAGUUCUGCUGGCAGGGUAGGUUCAGAAACCAAACUCUCAUUGUACAACGAGAGCUACAUUUUAUUUUUGCUGAUAAGGUCCCAGAAACUUAGGUCAAUGUCAUCAGCCACUGUUCCAUCUCAACAGUGACAAGGCCAUCGGCAGGUUUUUGGCUUUUUUAUUGACGCCAUCAGCAUUUAAGUCUGCUUCUGUGAGCUCAUGCAGUUAAUCAAGAGGGAAAUACCAUGAAGAGAACAAAAAUUACACCCCCCCCCCAAACUGGUAGAAGAGCAAGAGAUACAAGAUAGGUGGGAAAUCAGCAACUCAGUAUCCAAAAUAAAUACAAUUUUUCCUCGCAUUUGGGAAGCCAGUCCAUCUUUCCCAUUCUUUCCUCACUGAUAUUUUACUUCUCCUUACCACCUUCCUUCCAACUCCAACCUUUCACUAAAUGAUUAGAACUAGGUAAAUAUCUAGUGAUCUAGUUCCCUAGUUGUUAAAAGAUUGCUACCUUAAGUGCCUUUAAAUUAGGAAGUGCUACUUGAACAGUGCAAAAAGACAUAUUCUGAACUACCAGCAAGACCACCUGGAAGAAACUGGCAAUGGAAUAAAAUUUACUUCGAACCACAGACACUUCAGCUUUCCUGAUAGAAUUAGGUGAGUAGAUGUAAAACACCAAUGGUUGAAAUAAAGUGAUUUUUUUAAAAUCCCAGGGUAUCCACAGUUUUGAAAAAUAGAGUAAAGCAUUUACUGUGAUGUGUUUCUUGAGUAAGUACUUCAUAAACCACCUGCUCACUGACUGACGUUUCCCCUGGCAGCUAAAAUGCUACACUGCAGCUUAAACAUGGGCAGUAGCGGUGGCUCUUAGCUUGUGCUCAGUGGGAUCAACUCCGCUGUAAGUGCGCAGGCGAGCUUUUCCAGCUCCACCCUCAGCCUGAGAAAGACUGUGGGAAGAAGCAAGGAAGAGACUCCCAUGGAAAAAAGACAGACUCAGAUAAAUGGUUAUCAUUUUCAUCUAACCUUGAGACAGACUAUGGAAUGCAAGACUGUGACUCCUGCUGAGUAAGUUUCAAACAUAGAAACAGUGGAGGAUUUCUUCUGAGAUCAUGCCAAAGAGGCGAUUACUCCGGCAUGACACCUGGCCCAGGCACAUUUAUCUACAACGGCUGCCUCCCCAAAAAAGACCUUAACAGAUAUACUCCCAAUAACAGGUGAAAUCAUGAUUCUCG
rnacentral:lncRNA from 1 species